UGAGGAAUAUUGGUCAAUGGACGAGAGUCUGAACCAGCCAAGUAGCGUGCAGGAUGACGGCCCUAUGGGUUGUAAACUGCUUUUGUUUGGGAAUAAUCGACAUUACGUGUAAUGUUUUGCAUGUACCAUUCGAAUAAGGACCGGCUAAUUCCGUGCCAGCAGCCGCGGUAAUACGGAAGGUCCAGGCGUUAUCCGGAUUUAUUGGGUUUAAAGGGAGUGUAGGCGGUUGGUUAAGCGUGUUGUGGAAUGUAGAUGCUCAACAUCUGACUUGCAGCGCGAACUGGCUGACUUGAGUACACACAACGUAGGCGGAAUUCAUGGUGUAGCGGUGAAAUGCUUAGAUUUCAUGAAGAACGCCGAUUGCGAAGGCAGCUUACGGGAGUGUUACUGACGCUUAAGCUCGAAGGUGCGGGUAUCGAACAGG
rnacentral:rRNA from 1 species